UGCGCACUUCUGAAUAAAUCCUGGCUCCAAUGAGCGAGUGGAAAUGCAGAAAGCAAAGCAAGGAUUACCGACAUCUGUUUGCUGACCUUGCUUGGUUAUGAGCAGCAAAAUGUCCCUGGACAUUGAAGUUUGGAUGGUUGCUACUUUGACUGGGUAUUGGCUUGGUCCAUCUUUCUCCCUGGCUCUAGGCAGCAGCCUCGAGGGGCCUGUUUCAUCUCCAAGAGCUUGAACGGGAACCCGAAUGGGAUGAUCCAGACGAUGACCUGCGGCGCCUGGAAGAUAAAAAUGGAGAAAGCGUGCGAAGCAUUGAGUGGGCGCUGACCACGAGCAAGCAAACAAAACACCUUGAUGGUAAAGGGGGCUUAUUCUACACUGGGACUGGGUCGACCAGUCUGUCUAGAGGUCGAGAGGAGGUGGAACUCGGGCUUUCAGUCUGUGGUAUUAACAGUACAAUCUUAAUGUACAGUUUCAGGAAUAAAAAAUGAAAAAUAAAACUAUUCCAUUUCAAAAUAUAGCCAGCUCUCAAUUAUUUAGAACAAGGAAAGAAAGAAAGCCCAUCCUGGCAACCAAACCGGGGAAUGCUCAUGGCCAGUAGUGGUUUUUACAGACAAGCCCUCCAAGAUCCCUGCCCACUCAGAUUCAUUUAAUUUCUAGGGCAAUGCGAGCUAUCGAUGUAGCUGUCAUUCAGACUUCAGCAAGGCUUGGUCUUGUCUUCUACGAUAUAUGUAGUGCAAGAUUUUAAGAGGAAAAAAAAGCCAAGCUAGGGAGAACGAUGAUGCUCCUAGCUACCUAGCACCCGUGGGGCUUAGCUCUGGUGACCUUCUGUCUUCACUCGGGCUGACCUGACUGAUGGACCGUGGUGAAAGGCUCAGGAAGUUGAUGGGACAGUAAACGAGGUAGCCUAAAGCCGAAGGUUAGAAUGAGAAGCCAGGAGAUUGGAAACAGAAAAAACAAACAAACAAAAAAAACCUUCUGCCAGGCAAGCAUGGGAUAGCAAAGACAGAAAACAGAGUGUGAGUGUGAGCUGCCUCUGCAUUCACUGGGGCACGGAGGGUCUGCAUCAGAAGGGACUAAAGGGGCCUGAAAAAGCAAACCACCCAGCUCGCUGCCAGAGAGACUCCAAGGAGGCAGAUGGGGGGUUAUCUAGCCCAGAGUGCUGGGGGCGACAAGGACAAUUGCCAACGUCCUCCAGCAGGGAUGGAGUGGACAGUGACUGAGGAAGAAGGGAUCAAGAGACAAAGGGAAGGAGCUGAACAGGGUGUCGAGAAGGAGACCAAAGGAGGACGCACAGGUCUCUUGGGGAAUCCCCCGAGCCACAUUCUCACCCAUCCCUAGAGUGAGCAGGGGCUUGUUGGGCAGAGAGCCUCAGGCUCCUGACAGGCAAUACCAAACCGAAGCCAAACUCCUGGGUUACCAUUAGCUUCGUCCUUUCCCUUGCUUAUUGAGAAAUGGGCUAAGGAAUAGUGAUAAAAAAUAAACUAGAACAAAAAAGAAAAUGGAAUGGAGACAAAAUCCAUCCUGGAACAAGGUGGGGAGUUAGCUAUAGCACUAAUACCUAAACAUUUAAAAAUGUUCAAACAAUGGGCAAUCUGACCUCUAUCCUUCCUAGACAACAAAACUGGGCUUAAAACAAAAUGGCAUUAUCUUAAAAUUAGAAAAGAAAGUGACUCAAAUUCAACCCUUUCCCAAGCCUUUAGUAAAGGUAUUCCACACUCAAAUACACCCAUUCUUAUUU